GCGGCCUAUCAGCUUGUUGGUGAGGUAAUGGCUCACCAAGGCGACGACGGGUAGCCGGCCUGAGAGGGCGACCGGCCACACUGGGACUGAGACACGGCCCAGACUCCUACGGGAGGCAGCAGUGGGGAAUAUUGGGCAAUGGACGCAAGUCUGACCCAGCGACGCCGCGUGCGGGAUGAAGGCCUUCGGGUUGUAAACCGCUUUCAGCAGGGAAGAAGCGAAAGUGACGGUACCUGCAAAAGAAGCACCGGCUAACUAUGUGCCAGCAGCCGCGGUAAUACAUAGGGUGCAAGCGUUGUCCGGAAUUAUUGGGCGUAAAGAGCUCGUAGGUGGUUAGUUACGUCGGGUGUGAAACUCUGGGGCUCAACCCCAGACCUGCACUCGAUAC
rnacentral:rRNA from 1 species